ACGAACGCUGGCGGCGUGCUUAACACAUGCAAGUCGAACGGAAAGGCCCUGCUUUUGUGGGGUGCUCGAGUGGCGAACGGGUGAGUAACACGUGAGUAACCUGCCCUUGACUUUGGGAUAACUUCAGGAAACUGGGGCUAAUACCGGAUAGGAGCUCCUGCUGCAUGGUGGGGGUUGGAAAGUUUCGGCGGUUGGGGAUGGACUCGCGGCUUAUCAGCUUGUUGGUGGGGUAGUGGCUUACCAAGGCUUUGACGGGUAGCCGGCCUGAGAGGGUGACCGGCCACAUGGGGACUGAGAUACGGCCCAGACUCCUACGGGAGGCAGCGGUGGAGAGUAUUGCACAGUGGGCGGAAGCCUGAUGCAGCAACGCCGCGUGCGGGAUGACGGCCUUCGGGUUAUAAACCGCUUUCGCCUGUGACGAAGCGUGAGUGACGGUAAUGGGUAAAGAAGCACCGGCUAACUACGUG
rnacentral:rRNA from 1 species